GACAGAGGGUGCAAACGUUGUUCGGAAUUACUGGGCGUAAAGCGCGUGUAGGCGGCCCUGCAAGUCGGGUGUGAAAUCCCACGGCUCAACCGUGGAAGUGCACUCGAAACUGCAGGGCUAGAGUCCUGGAGAGGAAGGUGGAAUGCUUGGUGUAGAGGUGAAAUUCGUAGAUAUCAAGCAGAACACCUGCGGCGAAGGCGGCCUUCUGGACGAUGACUGACGCUGAGACGCGAAAGCGUGGGGAGCAAACAGG
rnacentral:rRNA from 1 species